rnacentral:rRNA from 1 species
UACGGGGGGGGCAAGCGUUGUUCGGAAUUACUGGGCGUAAAGGGCUCGUAGGCGGCCAACUAAGUCAGACGUGAAAUCCCUCGGCUUAACCGGGGAACUGCGUCUGAUACUGGGUGGCUUGAAUCCGGGAGAGGGAUGCGGAAUUCCAGGUGUAGCGGUGAAAUGCGUAGAUAUCUGGAGGAACACCGGUGGCGAAGGCGGCAUCCUGGACCGGUAUUGACGCUGAGGAGCGAAAGCCAGGGGAGCAAACAGG